AGUGAACGCUGGCGGCGUGCUUAACACAUGCAAGUCGAACGGAUGAAAUAAGCUUGCUUAUUUCGUUAGUGGCGCACGGGUGAGUAAUGUAUAGCUAACCUGCCCUUUAGUGGGGGACAACAGUUGGAAACGGCUGCUAAUACCCCAUACUCCAACUUAUCCUAAGAUAAGUUGGGAAAGAUUUAUUGCUAAAGGAUGGGGCUUUAUUGUAUCGGCUAGUUGGUGGGGUAAUGGCCUACCAAGGCAAUGACGCAUACCUGGUCUGAGAGGAUGAUCAGGCACACUGGAACUGAGACACGGUCCAGACUCCUACGGGAGGCAGCAGUGGGGAAUAUUGCACAAUGGAGGAAACUCUGAUGCAGCAACGCCGCGUGGAGGAUGACGCAUUUCGGUGUGUAAACUCCUUUUAUAAGGGAAGAUAAUGACGGUACCUUAUGAAUAAGCACCGGCUAACUCCGU
rnacentral:rRNA from 1 species